AUUGAACGCUGGCGGCAGGCCUAACACAUGCAAGUCGAACGGUAACAGGAAGCAGCUUGCUGCUUUGCUGACGAGUGGCGGACGGGUGAGUAAUGUCUGGGAAACUGCCCGAUGGAGGGGGAUAACUACUGGAAACGGUAGCUAAUACCGCAUAACGUCGCAAGACCAAAGAGGGGGACCUUAGGGCCUCUUGCCAUCGGAUGUGCCCAGAUGGGAUUAGCUAGUAGGUGGGGUAACGGCUCACCUAGGCGACGAUCCCUAGCUGGUCUGAGAGGAUGACCAGCCACACUGGAACUGAGACUCGGUCCAGACUCCUACGGGAGGCAGCAGUGGGGAAUAUUGCACAAUGGGCGCAAGCCUGAUGCAGCCAUGCCGCGUGUAUGAAGAAGGCCUUCGGGUUGUAAAGUACUUUCAGCGGGGAGGAAGGGAGUAAAGUUAAUACCUUUGCUCAUUGACGUUACCCGCAGAAGAAGCACCGGCUAACUCCGUG
rnacentral:rRNA from 1 species